rnacentral:tRNA from 1 species
AAGCCCCGGCACCUUUAGGGGUGCUUCUCCGAACUUGCAUUUCGGUGUGUCUUCCACCGCGGGG